AGAGCUUGCUCUCUGGGUGACGAGCGGCGGACGGGUGAGUAAUGUCUGGGAAACUGCCUGAUGGCGGGGGAUAACUAGUGGAAACGGUAGCUAAUACCGCAUAACGUCGCAAGACCAAAGUGGGGGACCUUCGGGCCUCACGCCAUCAGAUGUGCCCAGGUGGGAUUAGCUGGUAGGUGGGGUAACGGCUCACCUAGGCGACGAUCCCUAGCUGGUCUGAGAGGAUGACCAGCCACACUGGAACUGAGACACGGUCCAGACUCCUACGGGAGGCAGCAGUGGGGAA
rnacentral:rRNA from 1 species